rnacentral:misc_RNA from 1 species
AAAGUCGUAACAAGGUAACCGUAGGUGAACCUGCGGUUGGAUCAUUACCAAAUUUUAAAGAAAGCCAAAUCGUCUGCAAUUUUUAAUUGCGGUGCGUGCUGGUUCUUCUGCGGUAUUGAAAUAUAUACCACAUCUACCUUGUGUGCAUAGUAAUCUGUAUUUGGCGGAUUUUCAAAUCCUUUAUUGGAUGAGAAAGCGACAUCAAUUUUCAACUGAUUGAUUUGUUGGGCUGCUGAGAUUAGGUUUUGUUUACAAAAGCUUUUCUUAGGAGUGCCGCCAACCAUUUUGCAUAAACAUUAUAUUUUAUUUUUCUAGUCUGAUUCUGUUUUUUACAUGAUAUUUUUGUUACUUUUCUUUUUAUUAAGAAUGUAUUAAAAGUAUUUAAAAUUGUUAAAACAACUUUUGGCAACGGAUCUCUAGGCUCUC